rnacentral:lncRNA from 1 species
UUUUGAUAAGAGUUAGGAAAGAUAGAUAAUUGGGUUUUUUAAGUGAAUGAAAUGUGACAAAUUUAGGAUAUAAUAAUUAAUAAAUGGAUAGAGAUAAAAGAAAACUUAAAUCAGUCACACAUAGAACAAAAAAAAAAGAAAAGAGAUGGAGAUUUACCAGUCCAAAAAUGUUCAGAGUUUCUUCUUUAAGAACCAGAAUUAUAUAAAAACUCACCCGAAAAUCCAGCAGAUGCACCGAGAGAAGGAGAGGUAAAAGAAAUAACAAAAGGGAAUGGGGUAAGACUACAACACGAGAAUUAUCCAACCGCCAACAACUACCUAAGACUUCAACACACCAAACAACAACGAAGAGGAACUGAACAAAAGUAAAGACACAGAAACAAUGUAAGCACUUGCAGUGUAGAGAGCAAAAGAAGCUCAAAACACACACGAAGAGGUUGCUAAUGG